rnacentral:rRNA from 1 species
CGAGGGGCAGCGGGACCGGUAGCAAUACCGGUUGCCGGCGACCGGCGCACGGGUGAGUAACACGUAUGCAACCUGCCCUUGGCAGGGGGAUAACCCGGAGAAAUCCGGACUAAUACCGCGUAACACCUUCUGGGGACAUCCCCGGGAGGUCAAAGGUAGCGAUACCGGCCAAGGAUGGGCAUGCGUCGCAUUAGGCAGUUGGCGGUGUAACGGACCACCAAACCGACGAUGCGUAGGGGUUCUGAGAGGAAGGCCCCCCACACUGGUACUGGGACACGGACCAGACUCCUACGGGAGGCAGCAGUGAGGAAUAUUGGUCAAUGGGCGGAAGCCUGAACCAGCCAAGUCGCGUGAGGGAAGACGGUCCUAAGGAUUGUAAACCUCUUUUGUCAGGGAGCAAUGGCGGGCACGUGUGCCCGCAGGGAGAGUACCUGAAGAAAAAGCAUCGGCUAACUCCGUGCCAGCAGCCGCGGUAAUACGGAGGAUGCGAGCGUUAUCCGGAUUUAUUGGGUUUAAAGGGUGCGUAGGCGGGCUGUUAAGUCAGUGGUAAAAUUGAGGGGCUCAACCCCUUGCGGCCAUCGAAACUGGCGGUCUUGAGUGAGUGAGAAGUAUGCGGAAUGCGUGGUGUAGCGGUGAAAUGCAUAGAUAUCACGCAGAACUCCGAUUGCGAAGGCAGCAUACCGGCGCUCAACUGACGCUGAGGCACGAAAGCGUGGGGAUCGAACAGGAUUAGAUACCCUGGUAGUCCACGCAGUAAACGAUGAAUGCUGAUUGUCCGGCACGAAUGGGUGCUGGGUGAUAAAGCGAAAGCGUUAAGCAUUCCACCUGGGGAGUACGCCGGCAACGGUGAAACUCAAAGGAAUUGACGGGGGCCCGCACAAGCGGAGGAACAUGUGGUUUAAUUCGAUGAUACGCGAGGAACCUUACCCGGGCUCAAACGCCGUCCGGCGGUACGGGAAACCGUACUUACCGCAAGGACGGGCGGCGAGGUGCUGCAUGGUUGUCGUCAGCUCGUGCCGUGAGGUGUCGGCUUAAGUGCCAUAACGAGCGCAACCCCUGCGGGCAGUUGCUAACAAGUGAUGUUGAGGACUCU